rnacentral:rRNA from 1 species
GUGAGGAAUAUUGGGCAAUGCCCGCAAGGGUGACCCAGCAACGCCGCGUGGAGGAUGAAUGUCGUAAGAUUGUAAACUCCUGUUAGAGGGGAAGAAUAGUACCGGUUGGACCGGUAUAUGACUGUACCCUCAGAGAAAGCCCCGGCUAACUACGUGCCAGCAGCCGCGGUAAUACGUAGGGGGCAAGCGUUGUUCGGAUUUACUGGGCGUAAAGGGCGCGUAGGCGGCGCGGUAAGUCACUUGUGAAAUCUCUGAGCUUAACUCAGAACGGCCAAGUGAUACUGCUGUGCUAGAGUGCGGAAGAGGCAACCGGAAUUCUUGGUGUAGCGGUGAAAUGCGUAGAUAUCAAGAGGAACACCUGAGGCGAAGGCGGGUUGCUGAGCCGACACUGACGCCGAUGCGCGAAAGCCAGGGGAGCAAACG